rnacentral:rRNA from 1 species
GACGAACGCUGGCGGCGUGCCUAAUACAUGCAAGUCGAACGCAGUUGCGAACGGGUGAGUAACACGUAGGUUCCUGCCUCCUAGCGGGGGGUAACUAUUGGAAAAGCUAGCUCAUACCGCAUACUGUGAGAUGUACCUGCGUUGUAUUAGCUAGUUGGUGGGGUAAAGGCUCACCAAGGCGACGCUCCAUAGCCGACCUGAGAGGUGGAACGGCCACACUGGGACUGAGACACGGCCCAGACUCCUACGGGAGGCAGCAGUAGGGAAUCUUCGGCAAUGGACGGAAGUCUGACCGAGCAACGCCGCGUGAGUGAAGAAGGUUUUCGGAUCGUAAAGCUCUGUUGUUAGAGAAGCGGUAACUAAACAGAAAGGGACGGCUAACUACGUGCCAGCAGCCGCGGUAAUAC